GGGCGAUUAGUUCAGGCAGGUAGAACAGGCGAAACUUAUCCAUAGAAGCCAUUGUCCCCGGUUCGAAUCCGGGAUCGCCUA
rnacentral:tRNA from 1 species